rnacentral:rRNA from 1 species
CCAAUAGCGUAUAUUAAAGUUGUUGCAGUUAAAAAGCUCGUAGUUGAAUUUCGGGGUUCUACCGUUGGUCGGGCUUUGUCUGUACUGGCGUGUAGAAUUUCUACCUUCUGGGGAACCAUCAUGUUAUUAAUUUAACGUGGUGGGAAACCAGGACCUUUACCUUGAAAAAAUUAGAGUGUUCAAAGCAGGCUUGUGUCUGAAUACAUUAGCAUGGAAUAAUAAAAUAGGACGGUGGUCCUGUUUUGUUGGUUUCUGAAUCACCGUAAUGAUUAAUAGGGAUAGUUGGGGGCAUUAGUAUUCAAUUGUCAGAGGUGAAAUUCCUGGAUUUAUUGAAGACUAACUUCUGCGAAAGCAUUUGCCAAGGAUGUUUUCAUUAAUCAAGAACGAAAGUUAGGGGAUCGAAGACGAUCAGAUACCGUCGUAGUCUUAACCAUAAACUAUGCCGACUAGGGAUCGGACGAUGUUAAUUUUUCUUGACUCGUUCGGCGCCUUACG